CACGUAGGGGGCAAGCGUUGUCCGGAUUUAUUGGGCGUAAAGAGCUCGUAGGUGGCUUAGUAAGUCGGGUGUGAAACCUCCAGGCUCAACCUGGAGACGCCACCCGAUACUGCUAUAGCUUGAGUCCGGUAGGGGAGCGUGGAAUUCCUGGGUGUAGCGGUGAAAUGCGCAGAUAUCAGGAGGAACACCAGCGGCGAAGGCGGCGCUCUGGGCCGGUACUGACACUGAGGAGCGAAAGCGUGGGGAGCAAACAGG
rnacentral:rRNA from 1 species